rnacentral:tRNA from 1 species
UUAUUAAUUUUUAAUAUGGCAGAUUAGUGCAUUGGAA